UUAUUAUAACUUUGUGUUAGUAAAUAACCAAAAAUAAAUAAAAAAAAAAAUGUACGCUCGAAAUAUUAUAGCUAUAUUUAUUUAUUUAAAUAUUUUAAAUACCAUUUAUUGUGACUCGAACGUUCAAGUUAAUUUUCACGUUGAUGGAAAUGGAUUUCACAGAACAAUUAAUUAUGAAGUAGAAGCGAAAAAAUACAUAAACUACGACUGUCAUGUCGCGCUAUAUUUAGAAUUACCUCGAGAACUGUAUGUCAACAUUGAUGAGCUAGCUGAUUUACAACGAUUCACGAAUAUUCGAGCGUGCGCAGUCGGAGAAACAAACGUCGAAUUAUUCGCUGAAGAAGCUAAACCGCAAAGAGUAUCAAUUUGCACAGCUUUGAAUUUUGACGCGACGACGUUAAACUUGACGAUUCAUCAGCGGUACCAGCGUGCCAAAGAAAAAGAAGAUUAUGCCAAUGUUAUUUUACCAUUCCCUAAGCUUUUGCUGGGGUGUAAAAAACGUAUCAAAGAGUACCAAGUUUCUUUGAUAGAUUUAUGUGAUUCCUGCGUAGAAUUAGCUACUAAAUGGCGGGAAAUUCCUUAUCAAACCGAAACCAAGGAAUACAUGUGGAUAAUACCGAUAGGAGAAUUGACUCACAGGUCCUACGUAACUUACAUUACAUUAUUUACAAGUGUAAUUGGGACUUUAAUCAUAUUUAAAGCUCUUUGUUCGGUAAAUCCUGGUGAUGACGUGAAAAAUGACUGAGGCACCCACUUAGACAAAAUAGUAUGCAUUGCCGGUGGAAUAACACCUUGACACGCCCCAGUCAGGACUCUCAAGACAAUAACAGCCUGCCAGCCUCCGUAAGUCGCCGCAGUCGGAAUUAAUAUCGUAACAACGCCGCAAAUUCCAACAGCAAAGCACAGAAAUCUCUGUGCUCCAAAUCUUUGAGCAAGUUCUCCACCAGGAGCAAGAAUAGCAACCACCGAAGCUAAACAAUUGGUGAUGGACAUAAGAACCCCGGCAAAGUUUGGGCUUAAAUCAAUGUGAUUAAGUUGGAAUCCACAAAGUGUACCAACGUUGA